rnacentral:rRNA from 1 species
GAUGAACGCUGGCGGCGUGCUUAACACAUGCCAGUCGAACGAUGAAGCCCAGCUUGCUGGGUGGAUUAGUGGCGAACGGGUGAGUAACACGUGAGUAACCUGCCCUUAACUCUGGGAUAAGCCUGGGAAACUGGGUCUAAUACCGGAUAGGAGCGUCCACCGCAUGGUGGGUGUUGGAAAGAUUUAUCGGUUUUGGAUGGACUCGCGGCCUAUCAGCUUGUUGGUGAGGUAAUGGCUCACCAAGGCGACGACGGGUAGCCGGCCUGAGAGGGUGACCGGCCACACUGGGACUGAGACACGGCCCAGACUCCUACGGGAGGCAGCAGUGGGGAAUAUUGCACAAUGGGCGCAAGCCUGAUGCAGCGACGCCGCGUGAGGGAUGACGGCCUUCGGGUUGUAAACCUCUUUCAGUAGGGAAGAAGCGAAAGUGACGGUACCUGCAGAAGAAGCACCGGCCAACUACGUG